rnacentral:rRNA from 1 species
AUUGAACGCUGGCGGCAUGCCUUACACAUGCAAGUCGAACGGCAGCACGGGAGCAAUCCUGGUGGCGAGUGGCGAACGGGUGAGUAAAGUAUCGGAACGUGCCCAGUCGUGGGGGAUAACGUAGCGAAAGUUACGCUAAUACCGCAUACGAUCUAUGGAUGAAAGCGGGGGAUCGCAAGACCUCGCGCGAUUGGAGCGGCCGAUAUCAGAUUAGGUAGUUGGUGGAGUAAAGGCUCACCAAGCCGACGAUCUGUAGCUGGUCUGAGAGGACGACUAGCCACACUGGGACGGAGACACGGCCCAGACUCCUACGGGAGGCAGCAGUGGGGAAUUUUGGACAAUGGGCGAAAGCCUGAUCCAGCCAUGCCGCGUGCAGGAUGAAGGCCUUCGGGUUGUAAACUGCUUUUGUACGGAACGAAAAGGUUUGGGCUAAUAAGCUGAGCUCAUGACGGUACCGUAAGAAUAAGCACCGGCUAACUACGUGCCAGCAGCCGCCGUAA